GGUAGCCUACGGGGCGCAGCAGUAGGGAAUCUUCCACAAUGGGCGAAAGCCUGAUGGAGCAACGCCGCGUGGGUGAAGAAGGUCUUCGGAUCGUAAAACCCUGUUGUUAGAGAAGAAAGUGCGUGAGAGUAACUGUUCACGUUUCGACGGUAUCUAACCAGACAGCCACGGCUAACUACGUGCCAGCAGCCGCGGUAAUACGUAGGUGGCAAGCGUUAUCCGGAUUUAUUGGGCGUACAGGGAACGCAGGCGGUCUUUUAAGUCUGAUGUGAAAGCCUUCGGCUUAACAGGCGUAGUGCAU
rnacentral:rRNA from 1 species